rnacentral:rRNA from 1 species
ACUCCUGCGGGAGGCAGCAGUGGGGAAUUUUGGACAAUGGGCGAAAGCCUGAUCCAGCAAUGCCGCGUGAGUGAAGAAGGCCUUCGGGUUGUAAAGCUCUUUUGUCAGGGAAGAAACGGUGAGAGCUAAUAUCUCUUGCUAAUGACGGUACCUGAAGAAUAAGCACCGGCUAACUACGUGCCAGCAGCCGCGGUAAUACGUAGGGUGCAAGCGUUAAUCGGAAUUACUGGGCGUAAAGCGUGCGCAGGCGGUUUUGUAAGUCUGAUGUGAAAUCCCCGGGCUCAACCUGGGAAUUGCAUUGGAGACUGCAAGGCUAGAAUCUGGCAGAGGGGGGUAGAAUUCCACGUGUAGCAGUGAAAUGCGUAGAUAUGUGGAGGAACACCGAUGGCGAAGGCAGCCCCCUGGGUCAAGAUUGACGCUCAUGCACGAAAGCGUGGGGAGCAAACAGGAUUAGAAACCCGAGUAGUCCC